rnacentral:rRNA from 1 species
GGCUUAGAGUUUGAUCAUGGCUCAGGAUGAACGCUGGCGGCGUGCCUAACACAUGCAAGUCGAACGAAGCACUUAUCUUUGAUUCUUUCGGGAUGAAGAGAUAUUUGACUGAGUGGCGGACGGGUGAGUAACGCGUGGGUAACCUGCCUCAUACAGGGGGAUAACAGUUAGAAAUGACUGCUAAUACCGCAUAAGCGCACGGAAUCGCAUGAUUCAGUGUGAAAAGCCGAGACGGUAUGAGAUGGACCCGCGUCUGAUUAGGUAGUUGGUGAGGUAACGGCCCACCAAGCCGACGAUCAGUAGCCGACCUGAGAGGGUGACCGGCCACAUUGGGACUGAGACACGGCCCAAACUCCUACGGGAGGCAGCAGUGGGGAAUAUUGCACAAUGGGGGAAACCCUGAUGCAGCGACGCCGCGUGAAGGAAGAAGUAUUUCGGUAUGUAAACUCCUAUCAGCAGGGAAGAAAAUGACGGUACCUGACUAAGAAGCCCCGGCUAACUACGUGCCAGCAGCCGCGGUAAUACGUAGGGGGCAAGCGUUAUCCGGAUUUACUGGGUGUAAAGGGAGCGUAGGCGGUCUGACAAGUCAGAAGUGAAAGCCCGGGGCUCAACCUCGGGACUGCUUUUGAAACUGCCGGACUAGAUUGCAGGAGAGGUAAGUG